rnacentral:rRNA from 1 species
AGUGAACGCUGGCGGUAGGCCUAACACAUGCAAGUCGAACGGCAGCACAGUAAGAGCUUGCUCUUACGGGUGGCGAGUGGCGGACGGGUGAGGAAUACAUCGGAAUCUACUUUUUCGUGGGGGAUAACGUAGGGAAACUUACGCUAAUACCGCAUACGACCUACGGGUGAAAGCAGGGGAUCUUCGGACCUUGCGCGAUUGAAUGAGCCGAUGUCGGAUUAGCUAGUUGGCGGGGUAAAGGCCCACCAAGCCGACGAUCCGUAGCUGGUCUGAGAGGAUGAUCAGCCACACUGGAACUGAGACACGGUCCAGACUCCUACGGGAGGCAGCAGUGGGGAAUAUUGGACAAUGGGCGCAAGCCUGAUCCAGCAAUACCGCGUGGGUGAAGAAGGCCUUCGGGUUGUAAAGCCCUUUUGUUGGGAAAGAAAAGCAGCAGGUUAAUACCCCGCUGUUCUGACGGUACCCAAAGAAUAAGCACCGGCUAACUUCGUG